rnacentral:rRNA from 1 species
AAUCAACGCUGGCGGCGUGCCUAACACAUGCAAGUCGAACGCGAAAGCCCCUUCGGGGUAAGGUAGAGUGGCGUCCGGGUGAGUAACACGUAGGUAAUCUACCUUCGGGUGGGGAAGUAACUCGCCGAAAGGACGAGCUAAUACCGCAUAAUGCAGCGGCACCUAAUGGUGAUUAGUUGUUAAAGCGGGGGAGUCGUAAGACCUCGCGCCUGAAGAGGAGCCUGCGGCAGAUUAGCUAGNGGUGAGGUAAUGGCUCACCAAGGCUUCGAUCUGUAGC